UACGUAGGCAGCAAGCGUUGUUCGGAGUUACUGGGCGUAAAGGGUGUGUAGGCGGUUAUUUAAGUUUGGUGUGAAAUCUCCCGGCUCAACCGGGAGGGUGCGCCGAAUACUGAAUGACUUGGAGUGCGGGAGAGGAAAGUGGAAUUCCUGGUGUAGCGGUGAAAUGCGUAGAUAUCAGGAGGAACACCGGUGGUGUAGACGGCUUUCUGGACCGUAACUGACGCUGAGACGCGAAAGCGUGGGGAGCAAACAGG
rnacentral:rRNA from 1 species